GGAAGAGCAUGGGCACUGAAGAACCUGCUUAUGGAGUUUGCUUCAAAUGUGGGAAACCUAUCCAUCAGACAAAAGUUGUCCUGCUUCAGCUGCUGACAGCAUGCUUCCAAACCAUGAAUAGGCAGGACACAGAGGAAGUAGACUUUCAAACUUUGCCAAGACAAGGUAGGCCAAGCCUUCAGAAAAAAAAAAAAGAAAAAAAAAAAAAAGAAAGACCUAAUACCAAUACUCUUCAAACUAUUCCACAAAGUAGAAACAGAAGGAACACUACCCAAUUCAUUCUUUCGUGCUUUUAUCUAAACCACACAGCGACCCUACAAAGAGAACUCAGACCAAUUUCCCUCAUGAAUAUCAAUGCAAAAAUACUCACUAAAAUUCUCAAAAACUGAAUCUAAGAACACAUUGACAUGAUCAUUCACCAUGAUCAAGUAGGCUUCAUCUAAGGCUGGCUCAAUAUAUGGAACUCUUCAUCGUAAUCUACUAUAUAAACAAACUCAAGAAAAAAAA
rnacentral:lncRNA from 1 species